rnacentral:rRNA from 1 species
UACAGAGGGGGCAAGCGUUGUUCGGAAUUACUGGGCGUAAAGGGCGCGUAGGCGGCCUUCUAAGUCGAACGUGAAAUCCCCGGGCUCAACCCGGGAACUGCGUCCGAUACUGGAAGGCUUGAAUCCGGGAGAGGGAUGUGGAAUUCCAGGUGUAGCGGUGAAAUGCGCAGAUAUCGGGAAGAACACCCGUGGCGAAGGCGGUUCUCUGGGACGGUACUGACGCUGAGACGCGAAAGCGUGGGGAGCGAACAGG